UACGGGGGGGGCAAGCGUUGUUCGGAAUUACUGGGCGUAAAGGGCUCGUAGGUGGUCAACUAAGUCAUACGUGAAAGCCCACGGCUCAACCGUGGAGGGUCAUUGGAAACUGGGAGACUUGAGUGCAGAAGAGAAGAGUGGAAUUCCACGUGUAGCGGUGAAAUGCGUAGAGAUGUGGAGGAACACCAGUGGCGAAGGCGACUCUUUGGUCUGUAACUGACGCUGAGGCGCGAAAGCGUGGGGAGCAAACAGG
rnacentral:rRNA from 1 species